GUGUAAGUAAUAAGUCAAAGAACCACAUUCUGUGUAAUAUAGAGUCACGGGUCCAGGGAUGGACCAGUGAAGUUGCUUCUUCUCCACCCUUCUCUUUUCACAAAACUCACUGGGGGAGGGGGGGGGGGGGGCCUU